UACGUAGGGGGCUAGCGUUGUCCGGAUUUAUUGGGCGUAAAGAGCGUGUAGGCGGCCAUGUAGGUCCGGUGUGAAAACUCGAGGCUUAACCUCGAGAUGUCAUCGGAAACCAUUUGGCUAGAGUCCGGAAGAGGAGAGUGGAAUUCCUGGUGUAGCGGUGAAAUGCGCAGAUAUCAGGAAGAACACCAGUGGCGAAGGCGGCUCACUGGACUGGUAUUGACGCUGAGGCGCGAAAGCUAGGGGAGCAAACGGG
rnacentral:rRNA from 1 species